rnacentral:lncRNA from 1 species
GACUGAUGGGUAUAUUUUGAAUUAAACAGUUUAAUUUAGCAAUUAAUUUAAAAGAGUUUUAAGUAAUUGUAGCACAUGGGCUCAAUGUGUCCAAUUAAAUCAAUUUGACAUGAGCAUGGACCUAUGCUGGCUAGAUGUGGACCCAAUGGGUCACACACAAUAGGAACUUCAUCUUAAACUUUUGAUUAGGCUUAUGAAACCUUAGAUCAAUAAGGAUUUAAAUGAAAUCCUCAUGGGUUUUGGACAUUCAUGCCAGCAUAUGAUUAAACCCUAGAAUCCCUAUCUACAUUGUCUCCUAAUUGGAUUAGGAGUG